GAUGAACGCUGGCGGCGUGCCUAAUACAUGCAAGUCGAACGCUGGAGAUCUAGCUUGCUAGAUCGAAGGAGUGGCGAACGGGUGAGUAAUACAUAAGCAACCUACCCACGAAGACUGGGAUAAUCUCUGGAAACGGGGACUAAUACCGGAUAGGUAAUCGGAAGGCAUCUUCUGGUUAUUAAAGGUUAAAAACACUGGUGGAUGGGCUUAUGGCGCAUUAGUUAGUUGGUGAGGAAACGGCCCACCAAGACGAUGAUGCGUAGCCGGCCUGAGAGGGUGAACGGCCACAUUGGGACUGAGACACGGCCCAGACUCCUACGGGAGGCAGCAGUAGGGAAUUUUCGGCAAUGGGGGCAACCCUGACCGAGCAACGCCGCGUGAGUGAAGACGGCCUUCGGGUUGUAAAGCUCUGUUGUAAGGGAAGAACGGUAGAUAGAGAAUAUCUAAGUGACGGUACCUUACCAGAAAGCCACGGCUAACUACGUG
rnacentral:rRNA from 1 species